rnacentral:rRNA from 1 species
GAUGAACGCUGGCGGCAUGCUUAACACAUGCCAGUCGGACGGGAAGUGGUGUUUCCAGUGGCGGACGGGGGAGUAACGCGUAAGAACCUGCCCUCGGGAGGGGAACAACAGCUGGAAACGGCUGCUAAUACCCCGUAGGCCGGGGAGCAAACGGUGGAAUCCGCACGAGAAGGGGCUUGCGUCUGAUUAACUAGUGGGUUAGGCAAUAGCUUACCAAGGAGCCUAUCAGUAGCUGUUCCGAGAGGAUGAUCAGCCACACUGGGACUGAGCCACGGCCCAGACUCCUACGGGAGACAGCAGUGGGGAAGUUUCCGCAAUGGGCGAUAGGCUGAGGGGGCAAUGGCGCGUGGAAGUAGAAGGCCCACGGGUGGUGAACUGCUUUUCCCGGAGACGAAGGAAUGACGGUAUCUGGAGAAUAAGCAUCGGCUAACUCUGUG